GACAGAGGGUGCAAACGUUGUUCGGAAUUACUGGGCGUAAAGCGCGUGUAGGCUGUUUCGAAAGUCGGAUGUGAAAGCCCUGGGCUCAACCUAGGAAGUGCAUUCGAAGCUUCGAGACUCGAGUCCUGGAGAGGAUCGCGGAAUUCUCGGUGUAGAGGUGAAAUUCGUAGAUAUCGAGAGGAACACCGGUGGCGAAGGCGGCGAUCUGGACAGUGACUGACGCUGAGACGCGAAAGCGUGGGGAGCAAACAGG
rnacentral:rRNA from 1 species